rnacentral:rRNA from 1 species
ACCGGUGCGCCUAACACAUGCAAGUCGAGCGGGAAUACUAAGGAAGCUUGCUUUUUUGGUAUGAGAGCGGCGAACGGGUGAGUAACACGUUGGAAUAUGCCCCGAAGUCAGGGAUAGCCAUGGGAAACUGUGGGUAAUACCGGAUAGUCUCUUUGGAGUAAAUAUUUAUAGCUUUGGGAAUAGCCUGCGAUCUAUCAGCUAGUUGGUGGGGUAAGAGCCUACCAAGGCGAUGACGGAUAACUGGUCUGAGAGGAUGAUCAGUCACAAUGGAACUGAGACACGGUCCAUACUCCUACGGGAGGCAGCAGUGAGGAAUCUUCCACAAUGGGCGGAAGCCUGAUGGAGCGACACCGCGUGAAGGAUGAAGGCCUAACGGUUGUAAACUUCUUUUCUGAAGGAGAAUGAUGAUAGUACUUUAGGAAUAAGGGACGGCUAAAUACGUGCCAGCAGCCGCGGUAAUACGUAUGUCUCGAGCGUUACCCGGAAUUACUGGGUGUAAAGAGUUCGUAGGUGGGAUAUUAAGUCAGGUAUGAAAGACCGGAGCUUAACUCUGAGUUUGUGCUUGAAACUGGUAUUCUAGAAUUGGGGAGAGGUAAGUAGAAUUUUAAGUGUAGGGGUGCAAUCCGUAGAUACUUAGAAGAAUACCGAAAGCGAAGGCAACUUACUGGAACCAUAUUGACGCUNAAGAACGAAAGCGUGGGGAGCGAAAAGGAUUAGAUACCCUUGUAGUCCACGCCCUAACGAUGAUAACUAAUGUUGCAUGAAAUGCAUGCUGAACCAACGCAUAGUAUCCCCUGAGGAUACGUCGCAGAUAAACUCAAGGAUAACGGGACCCCCCAG